rnacentral:lncRNA from 1 species
CAUCUUCGAGAAUGUGUAUUGCUGUUAGAGAGUAGAGGUCAUCAGGAUGUGCUCCGGUUGUUAGAAAAUAACGACUCAUACGUUCUGAAGUUUGUUAAGAUUAUGAAUCUUACUAAGCAGAGAAGAAAAUGGGAUAGUAAGAUGGCUAGCUUCUUAUCAUCUAGCGGAUGAAAGACUCUGCAACUCUUUUAUUAUGAUCGUAGUAAAGGACCAGAUGGC